rnacentral:rRNA from 1 species
UACGUAGGGUGCAAGCGUUGUCCGGAAUUAUUGGGCGUAAAGAGCUCGUAGGCGGUUUGUCGCGUCUGCCGUGAAAACCCGAGGCUUAACCUCGUGGCUUGCGGUGGAUACGGGCAGACUAGAGGUAGGUAGGGGAGAAUGGAAUUCCCGGUGUAGCGGUGAAAUGCGCAGAUAUCGGGAGGAACACCGGUGGCGAAGGCAGGUCACUGGGCCGCAACUGACGCUGAGGAGCGAAAGCAUGGGGAGCGAACAGG